CAGAGUUGCAAAACUCCCACAAACCAUCGCGAAUCUUACCCGUACGGUUGCCUCGGCGCUGGCGGUCCGGAAGGCCCUCGGGCCCCCGGACCCUCGGGUCCCCCGCUCGCGGGGGGCUGCCCGCCGGAGUGCCGAAACCAAACUCUUGAUAUUUUGUGUCUCUCUGAGUAAACUUUUAAAUAAGUCA
rnacentral:misc_RNA from 1 species